UAAUUGAUACCCAGAUAAUUUAAGCCUUAUU
rnacentral:piRNA from 1 species